UACGUAGGGUGCAAGCGUUGUCCGGAAUUAUUGGGCGUAAAGAGCUCGUAGGCGGUUUGUUGCGUCGGCUGUGAAAUCCCGAGGCUCAACCUCGGGUCUGCAGUCGAUACGAGCAAACUAGAGUGUUGCAGGGGAGACUGGAAUUCCUGGUGUAGCGGUGAAAUGCGUAGAUAUCAGGAGGAAUACCGAUGGCGAAGGCAGGUCUCUGGGCUAUAACUGACGCUCAUGCACGAAAGCGUGGGGAGCAAACAGG
rnacentral:rRNA from 1 species